rnacentral:lncRNA from 1 species
CUGGGAGCAGAGUGGAGAGUGGAGAGUUAGAGGUCAUUUGGAGUGGAGCAGAGUGCAGUGAUGGGAGUUGAUGGCAAUGGUCCGAAGGCUGAGUCUCAGCUAUGGGGAAGUAGAAGACCAGCAUAGCCACAUGACAGACUCAUUCGGCUCCUGAGGAAUAAGACAACCCAGGCAGUUGCUGCUGAAGAAGGCCACACUGUACCCAGAUGUUGAGAAUCCCUGUGGCUAAGACAGAGGAGAAUACAGCAUUAUAAUACAUUUUGGACUUUAAUUUCUCUGGACAUAGAAAUUCUAAGCUUUUGACUUUCACUUACAAGGAGAAGAUAUUUCAGUUUUGAACCUUAACUUCUUUAGGUCUUAACUCUAAAAAAUAAGAAGAUUUAAUUGUGAGCUUUAAUUUCCCUCCAUGAAUUAGAUCAUGGGGGAGGAGGAUUACAUCCAAAUUCAGGACAUCUCAAUGUUGCCAGCACUUCAUUGUUAGAGAAUCUUUACUUUGCCAUUUGACACCAAUAAAGAAUCUCUAAAGAGCUCUCCUAGAUAAGAUGAAUGAACAUAAUUUGUAAUGGAAAAUAGGCAGUUAAUUUUCAUCCUUGACUAUCCAGCAGUCUUGAAGUGAAGUUAAUUUGCCUAUUGUUCUGACCCAUUCUAGAGCCUUCUGAAAGCA